ensembl:lincRNA
GAAACAAAAGCCUGCAGAUUUGAAUCUACCUGCUUUCAAGUUAGUCAUCAUGAUGAAACUUAGACACAGGUAUCUCUAGCCCAGGAUAUGGAGAGCUGUACCAUGAAGCAUCUCCCCUACCUUCUGCUGCUGAAUAUCAGUGAGAGUUGAUAGAUGGCGAUAUUGGUGCUCAGAUUUAAGAAAAUUCUUCAAGGUCAUAUAGAAAAUAAAAAGCCAGGUAAAGGUUCCAAAGGCUGCAAGAAGCCUGCAAAGCAGAAUGGGAAGAAAGCAGCCACCAAAGUGGCCUCCUUUCCCCAGUUUGUCCACUCCAAUGAUCAUGCCAGUCGGGAGGCUGAGUUAAAGAAGAAGAGGGUUGGGGAGAUGAGGGAGAAGCAGCAGGCUGCCCGGGAGCAAGAGAGACACCGACGCAGGACCAUUGAAAGCUACUGCCAGGAUGUCCUGCGACGCCAAGAGGAGUUUGAGCGCAAGGAGGAAGUUUUGCAAGAAUUAAAUAUGUUUCCUCAACUGGAUGAUGAGGCUACAAGAAAGGCUUAUUACAAGGAGUUCCAUAAGGUGGUGGAAUACUCUGAUGUGAUUCUGGAAGUCCUGGAUUCCAGGGACCCAUUGGGUUGCCGCUGCUUCCAAAUGGAAGAAACUGUCCUACAGGCAGAAGGGAACAAGAAGCUGGUCCUGGUCUUGAACAAGAUUGACCUGGUCCCUAAGGAGGUUGUGGAGAAGUGGCUGGAAUACCUUCGGAAUGAGCUGCCAACUGUGGCUUUCAAGGCCAGUACCCAGCAUCAGGUCAAAAACCUGAAUCGCUGCAGUGUGCCAGUGGAUCAAGCCUCUGAGUCACUGCUGAAAAGCAAAGCCUGCUUUGGAGCUGAAAACCUCAUGAGGGUUCUGGGGAACUAUUGCCCGCCUUGGUGAAGUGCGCACCCAUAUCCGUUGUGGGCGUUGUGGGUAAGGCCUCAGGGGAGGUUAUGGGGCCCAGGCUUCUUCCUUGUGUAGGGGUGUCAUUGGGGGAAAGGAUUCUGGGAACUUCAUGUUACUUUUGGCUAGGGAGGAGAGGAGCUAUUCAGGAAGGGUCCUUUUUUUUUUUUUAAGGUAUUUAUUUAUUUUGGCAGCACUGGCUUUUGUUGCUGCAUGGGCUUUCUCUCGUUGGCUUCAAAUGGGGGCUACUCACUAGUUGCAGUGCUUGGGUUUCUCAUGGUGGGGUUCUCUUAUUGUGGAGUAUGGGCUCUAGGGUGCGCAGGCUUCAGUAGUUGCAGCUCCCAUGGGCUGAGUUGCCCUGAGGCAUGUGGAAUCUUCCUGGAUCAGGGAUUGAACCCCUGUCCCCUGCAUUGGCAGGCAGAUUCUUACCCGCUGUGCCACCAAGGAAGUCCCAGGAAGGCCUCUUGUGAUUUGUAAUUUGGAUUGGUGGACAUGGGGAGGCAGACUCAGAAUCACCACUGGUAGUUGGAGUAUUAAAACCAUGGACUACAUGUGUGGGGCUAGGCUUAGAGUUGACCCAUGUCAUCCUACCACUCUGGGGAAGGGAAUGGUUGCCUCAUCCAGUAUUCUUGCCUGGGAGAUCCCAUGGACAGAGGAGCCUGGUGGGCUACAUUCCAUGGGGUUGCAAAGAGUCAGACGUGACUGAGCACAUAUGUAUGCAUCCCACCAGAGCUGUGGGAGAGAGGGGUGAACAUCUCCCUUUCAUAGAUAAGAACACUAGGGCUCAGAGAAAGGAAAGGGACUUGCAGGGUUCACCCCUGUGUGAGACAAAACAGAGCUGAGGCUCAAACCUGGAGCCCAGGGCACUGAAAGAAAGCUGGGGAAAGGAACCAGGAAGUUGAGAGAGGCAGAGAUAGACCAGCAGGGAAAAGAAGUGAAGCCAAGAGAAAAAAAACAUUGGAGAAACAGCUGGAAACAGAAAAAGGUAAAAUACCUGAAUAGAUACAGAAAUAUAUCUGGAAAACCAAAUGUGGGAUUGGUGGGGAGUAGAGAAGGAAGACAGAGUUGAAUGACAGAGGCAUGUAGACAGAGGGAGAUAUGAUCACAAAAAUGUGUGUAGAGGCCUACAGAGAGAGAUAUGAGAGGGCCUGAGACCCUCUCAUGUGAGUAGGGAGGGAGACAUGUAUACCCAAGGAAAGAAUGAAUGAGUCAAACUCAGGGAUAAAGAGAUUCAGAGGAAGAUGCACAUAGAAAGAAGCAGGAACAAAGAUGCAGACAGACACUGAAGAAUAUACACCCAGACCUAUACACACAUGUGGAUCCACAGACACAUGUACAGAUCCACACAUAUGAAGACACAUACAGAUCCAGAGCCAAGAUAAUGGAGACCAAGCCCUUCCCACACACUUAGCCAACUCCUCUCCAAGCAAACAGAGCCAUAGAGAGACACGUGUACCCAGAUGCAUUUGACCCUCAGACACAAUCAUGUUAGAGACACAGACACACAUCUAUGACAAGACAGAUGUAUAUGUAUAUAUAGAGAAAUAGAGGCAGAGAGAGGACUAGGGAGACACAGAAAAAGAAACACAGUGAUUCAUGUAGAGAGACAAGCCCACUGAGAGAAGGACCAGGUACAGAAAGAGCUGAGAGGAGUUGGCAUAGAGGGAAUUAACAAAGAGGCAAAAUUGCUGGGGUGGGGAGAAUUUGAGAGAAAGGACAAUGGCCAUAAAGAGAGAAAGUGAGACAAACUGGCAGAGAAAGAGUUGCUUAGAUACACAGAGAGAAAGACAGAAAUGGGAAAAGCAAUGGUAUUUAGAAUGAGAACAGCCAAGAGAAGAUACACAGAGACUUCUACACACAAGGGAUAUACACACAAGCACAUCUAUCGGAAUAAAUAGUACACAUGUAAGUUCUAGCACACAGAGAAGGGGAAUGGUAGGAAUGAGAGACCCAAUGAGUGAGAAAUAGACAAGGACAUCCAUAGACCGAGAGGUGCUUACAGAUGCCCAAACAGAAAAACAUACCACAGACAGAAAGCUCAAAGACUGACAUCUCAGAGAGGAGCCCCACCUCCCACUCCCUACCCCCUGCCAGGUGAAUUAUACACCACGAUGGGUGGUUCUGUUUUAUGACACUUCCCAGUGCCCACCAUCCAUUGGAUUGUGUCACAGAGGCCUUGCAUCCAGUACCUUUCCCAAGCUGGUUGUAAGUGGGAGGUGAGUGUCAUAUCUAGUGAGAGGAACACAUCUAGCCAGAGUGCUCACAUGUAGAGGAAAGGGAUAGAAAGGCCAUGGAGGGGCUUGGUCAGGGCCUUGGACAGGAAGGCAGGAGGCCAGGCUCUGUUUUUGGCUUCCCAUGGCCUGGUCACACUGCCCCUGCCUGGGCCUCCCU